CCUACGGGAGGCAGCAGUGGGGAAUAUUGCACAAUGGGCGCAAGCCUGAUGCAGCGACGCCGCGUGCGGGAUGACGGCCUUCGGGUUGUAAACCGCUUUUGAUCGGGAGCAAGCCUUCGGGUGAGUGUACCUUUCGAAUAAGCACCGGCUAACUACGUGCCAGCAGCCGCGGUAAUACGUAGGGUGCAAGCGUUAUCCGGAAUUAUUGGGCGUAAAGGGCUCGUAGGCGGUUCGUCGCGUCCGGUGUGAAAGUCCAUCGCUUAACGGUGGAUCCGCGCCGGGUACGGGCGGGCUUGAGUGCGGUAGGGGAGACUGGAAUUCCCGGUGUAACGGUGGAAUGUGUAGAUAUCGGGAAGAACACCAAUGGCGAAGGCAGGUCUCUGGGCCGUUACUGACGCUGAGGAGCGAAAGCGUGGGGAGCGAACAGGAUUAGAUACCCUGGUAGUCCACGCCGUAAACGGUGGAUGCUGGAUGUGGGGCCCGUUCCACGGGUUCCGUGUCGGAGCUAACGCGUUAAGCAUCCCGCCUGGGGAGUACGGCCGCAAGGCUAAAACUCAAAGAAAUUGACGGGGGCCCGCACAAGCGGCGGAGCAUGCGGAUUAAUUCGAUGCAACGCGAAGAACCUUACCAAGGCUUGACAUGCACGGCGGCGCUGCAGAGAUGUGGUGGCAUUUGGUUGGUCGUGUGCAGGUGGUGCAUGGUUGUCGUCAGCUCGUGUCGUGAGAUGUUGGGUUAAGUCCCGCAACGAGCGCAACCCUCGCCCUGUGUUGCCAGCACGUCAUGGUGGGAACUCACGGGGGACCGCCGGGGUCAACUCGGAGGAAGGUGGGGAUGACGUCAGAUCAUCAUGCCCCUUACGUCCAGGGCUUCACGCAUGCUACAAUGGCCGGUACAACGGGAUGCGACACGGCGACGUGGAGCGGAUCCCUGAAAACCGGUCUCAGUUCGGAUUGGAGUCUGCAACCCGACUCCAUGAAGGCGGAGUCGCUAGUAAUCGCGGAUCAGCAACGCCGCGGUGAAUGCGUUCCCGGGCCUUGUACACACCGCCCGUCAAGUCAUGAAAGUGGGUAGCACCCGAAGCCGGUGGCCUAACCCUUUGUGGAUGGAGCCGUCUAAGGUGAGACUCGUGAUUGGGACUAAGUCGUAACAAGGUAGCCGUACCGGAAGGUGCGGCUG
rnacentral:rRNA from 1 species